GACGAACGCUGGCGGCGGGCUUAACACAUGCAAGUCGAGCGGAAAGGCCCUGCUUUUUUGGGGUGCUCGAGUGGCGAACGUGUGAGUAACACGUGAGUAACCUGGCCUUGACGGUGGGAUAACUGCAGGAAACUGGGGCUAAUACCGGAGAGGAGCUCCUGCUGCAUGGUGGGGGUUGGAAAGUUUCGGCGGUUGGGGAUGGACUCGCGGCUUAUCAGCUUGUUGGUGGGGGAGUGGCUUACCAAGGCUUUGACUGGUAGCCGGCCUGAGAGGGUGAACGGGCACAUUGGGACUGAGAUACGGCCCAGACUCCUACGUGAGGCAGCAGUGGGGAAUAUUGUCCAAUGGGCGGAAGCCUGAUGAAGCAGCGCCGGGUGCGGGAUGACGGCCUUCGGGGUGUAAACCGCUUUAGCCUGUGACGAAGCGUGUGUGACGGUAACGGGUAAAGAAGCACCGGCUAACUACGUG
rnacentral:rRNA from 1 species